AUUGAACGCUGGCGGCAGGCCUAACACAUGCCAGUCGAGCGGAUGAAGGGAGCUUGCUCCUGGAUUCAGCGGCGGACGCGUGAGAAAUGCCUAGGAAUCUGCCUGGUAGUGGGGGAUAACGUCCGGAAACGGGCGCUAAUACCGCAUACGUCCUGAGGGAGAAAGUGGGGGAUCUUCGGACCUCACGCUAUCAGAUGAGCCUAGGUCGGAUUAGCUAGUUGGUGGGGUAAAGGCCUACCAAGGCGACGAUCCGUAACUGGUCUGAGAGGAUGAUCAGUCACACUGGAACUGAGACACGGUCCAGACUCCUACGGGAGGCAGCAGUGGGGAAUAUUGGACAAUGGGCGAAAGCCUGAUCCAGCCAUGCCGCGUGUGUGAAGAAGGUCUUCGGAUUGUAAAGCACUUUAAGUUGGGAGGAAGGGCAGUAAGUUAAUACCUUGCUGUUUUGACGUUACCAACAGAAUAAGCACCGGCUAACUUCGUG
rnacentral:rRNA from 1 species